AAGGGUCUUUCCCGCCCACCCGGUGGGUGAGGCGCGGCGACCCCGUCUCGGUCCCGGUCCCGGUCCCGGUCCCAUCCGCCUUGGCAGCCCGCCGGGCCUGUGAUAUUUACUCUUCAGUUAAUACUACGUCGCAGUUACUGUCAUAAUGACCUUCAUCUGGGCCAAGCAACUAGAGAGUUAAGCUAUAGAAAGACUGCAAAAAAGGAUUCCAGCAAGAAAACGUGAGGUAUUACUCCCUCACUUCCCUGCCAGAGUCACUCUCCAGAACAGAAGAACGCCUGCAGAACCAUGGGAUAACUCUCCUUGGAAGCGAUGCUCAGGAAGAGACACUGGGUAGGGAAGCUGCACUCCCCGGAACAGAUUUGUGUUCCAGACUUAAGUUGAUGAACAUGGAUUGCAAUCACUAUAUAUUAGAUAGAGGGUUUUUCAUUCUUGGUAAUGUUACAAAUUAUACACAAUUACUAGUAAAAAUUGUUACAAAGUUUGAAACUCGGACCUCCUCUAAGGUACACGUGCCACAUUUGCCAGUAAGGCAGUAAGCUGGGGAAACCUUUUCCUUGCAUUUAUAGGAUGCUGGACUGCAGGGAAUACCAUCCCUGAAAAACCUAGGCUCCUUAUAAAAUACUCUGAAGAUGAGGUGUCCAACUGCUUGGAAAAAAGUACAUUAUGAACAGAUAAUAAAUCAGCUGGUUAAAACAGAUAGAAAGAUUGUAUAUCAUAUUCUAGUAUCCACAUGGGGAUGGCUAAAAUACAUUAAAAAUCUCUCAUCAAAAAGCCUACUAUCUUAAAACUUGAAAUGAAUCCAACUAUACAACACUGCUGUAUUCCUCUCUGCGCUUCUUCUCUCAGAGAAGGAUACGUAAAAGCAGAUCCUUCCUGCUGACUCAUUCUGCUCUAUAAACUAUAUUUGAGGUUUGAGAAUAAAGGAAUUAUCCUGGCUUGUUAAGCUAUUUACCUCCAUGUUUAUAGUUCAACAUUACCAGAACAACUACUGCAGUGUACUGUUAUUAUUAUUACUACUAAUAAUAGUAAUCAAUACCUAACAGCAUAAAUGAGAGCAUACAGACAGGAAUUAUCACUCCUCUCCGCAAUUCCAACUUCUUCUCCAGAAUUUCAUUACAGUAGGUGGACAAUAACAGAAUUUUAUAAAAUACAAAAUAAAAUCUUUAGUGGAAAUUAAUUACACACUUGGAAAACCCCUAGCACUUCCAAGUUACCAUGUUGUUAACCACGUGUGCUACAUCCCUGAAGUUCUACAUCUUUCUUUCCUCAGUUUUACAGCAUCCUCUCUUGCACAGCUCCUUAGGGCUCUUCAGACAACCCUUAUCACUGAUCAUCACAGGGGCUCAGCGCCAACACUGCUGGACAUUUUUCAUAUGGAUAAUAUGGAAAAUCAUCUGCAGGGCAAAUGGUCACAGGUACCUAGGAAUAACAUAGAUAACAAUCUUCUAGAGAUUUAUAAAAAAAUUAUGAACGAUCUGUUUGGUUUAUAUAGUAACAGUGCUGUAUUUAAAGAUAAACCUUGCACUGCUUUCACUAAAUCUGGAACCAAAGCAUAACAGUAUCUUUGACCUUAUAUGUAGGCAUGUUAUAUGUCACCGUUUUAAUUUAGCUUUUAUAUGAUUAUUUUCAUUUUUGCUAAUGUUGCCUUGUAUGCAGAAGAUCAUAUGGAGGACACUGCUGCUCCUAUACCUGCUGAAUUACAGAUGCCGCCACCACCACCC